GAUUUCUGGUUUGGUGCGCCUGGUCCGCCCCGAUUUAGGUGUGUGAGUACCGGUGCGCGCCUACCAUCCUUCUGGGGAGCGACGCUACCCUUCACUGGGCUGGUGUCGCGACCUAGAUCGUUUACUUUGAAAAAAUUAGAGUGUUUAAAGCAGGCUUAUUGCUCUGAAUACAUUAGCAUGGAAUAAUAAGAUAGGACUUUGGUUCUAUUUUGUUGGUUUCUAGGACUGAAGUAAUGAUUGAUAGGGACAGUUGGGGGUGCUAGUAUUCAGCGGCCAGAGGUGAAAUUCUUGGAUUCGCUGAAGACUAACUUAUGCGAAAGCAUU
rnacentral:rRNA from 2 species